UACGGAGGAUCCAGGCGUUAUCCGGAAUCAUUGGGUUUAAAGGGUCCGUAGGCGGUUUUGUAAGUCAGUGGUGAAAGCCCAUCGCUCAACGGUGGAACGGCCAUUGAUACUGCAAGACUUGAAUUAUUGGGAAGCAACUAGAAUAUGUAGUGUAGCGGUGAAAUGCUUAGAGAUUACAUGGAAUACCAAUUGCGAAGGCAGGUUGCUACCAAUACAUUGACGCUGAUGGACGAAAGCGUGGGGAGCGAACAGG
rnacentral:rRNA from 1 species